GAAAUGUAUUGAGAUGUUCAAUGAAAUAGCAGAGAACAAAGAGGAUUACAACAAAUUUUAUGAAGCCUUCUCCAAACACAUCAAGUUGGGUAUCCAUGAAGAUGGUCAAAACAGAGCGAAGCUUGCCGAUUUGCUUAGGUACUACUCAACCAAGAGUGGUGAUGAGUUGACCAGCUUGAAGGACUACGUCACAAGAAUGAAAGAGGGCCAACAAUGUAUCUAUUACAUGACUGGUGAGAGCAAGAAAGCUGUUGAGAACUCUCCGUUUCUCGAGAAGCUCAAGAAGUAGGGCUAUGAAGUACU
rnacentral:misc_RNA from 1 species